AAAAAACGACAAUUGUGUGUCGUUGAGCAUCUUCUCCACCGACUGAUUGAGCUUCUUCAACUCACCAUUUCCUAACCAAUUUCAGAAAUUAAAAACCAAUUAAUCAUUCAAGUUGACAUCCAAUUUGUAGCUGCAUCGGAUGAUCGAGUUCUAGAAGACAAUUCCCUUUCGAAAAAUAAAUAUGUAAGUUAUUCUAAUUCCAGAAUUAUAACAUAUAUCAUCGAUUUCUUCAUUUUCGAUCAACAAAAGUUGUUGGGUUUUCGAUAGUUUGUAAAUUGGAACAUGUGUGCGUAGACAGCAAAUUAUAUAUUUGAAGAUCUAAUCUGAUGUUUGCAAUUCAAAUGUUUGUCAUGCAAUGUUUUCCAAAUGUUCUGAAUCUGUAAACGUUGAAUAAGACUUCAAUGAAUUUGUCUGAUUUCUAACAGUGUGAAUAUUUUAUAUGAAGAUAUGGGAUCAUUGCUCAAGAGAAGCUGCGAUAUGUUCUAACAAUAUAUUGAGGUUAGUUUUCAGUAUGAUGUAAUUGGUAGUUAACUUAGUUCCGUUUUGCAUAUAGAAGUUUAUGAAAUGUUAAGUAGAAUGAAGAGGAAAUUCUAUAAUUGUUGCUUAAUGGUUGUUUGUUGAUGCAUGUUAAUUCGAUAUAUAUAACUGUUGACACUGAACAACACAAAAUCUGAGAGUUUAAGGAAGUAAAACAAAUCGUAACAAUUAGCUCCUACUUUUGAAAUGGGUAGACUUAAAACCUUUAUUCUCUCAAUUUGAUGAUAAUCAAUAUGUUAGAAAAUGGUAAAUAGAUUGCAAGUGAAAUAUAAGUCCAAAUAAGUGUGGGUUUUGCUAACCAUAAAGCAAACAUAUUGAUCCCAAGGUAAAGUAAACAUACCUUUUAUGAUAAUCCUGUUUGAAAUAUCAUUGCCGCAGAAUUAUCAAUCGAUAUUCUGGAAAACCUCUUUGAAAACAACGUUUGUUGUUUGCUUUUGAAUCUUACCUUCUUUGUCCAGGAUAAGAAUUUUCAAACCUUUUUUAGAAGUAACCCUAGAUAAAGCGACAUAGAGUUGGCCAUGAGAAAACACUGGCUUAGGCAAAUAGAGUCCAACUCUUUCUAGAGAUUGACCCUGACUCUUGUUAAUGGUCAUAGCAAAAGCCAGUGAUACUGGGAACUGUCUUCUACGCAUCCGGAAAGGUAGUUUUGUAUCUGACGGUGUAAUGACGAUUAAUGGAAUCAAAACAAUAUCACCAAUUCUGUCUCCUGUUAUGACUUUUGCUUGAAGAACACGCGGGCUCAUCUGAGUAACUUGAAGCCUAGUACCAUUGCAUAGACCUCCUUUAGGAUCAAUAUUCCGAAGCAGCAUGAUUGGAGCACCAAUCUUUAAACUUAACGCAUGGUGAGGCAAACCUGAUACCCUGAUACUGUUUAAAAAAUCUGGUGUGAUGACAGAAUUUCUAAGUGAAUCGGAGUCUUCAGGAUCUAUACUAUCAGCACUGAGAAAUAACAUUGCAUCGCCUGUAGGAAAGAACAGAGAUACUUAAUAAAUUAGAUCUGCGAUUUACUUAAAAGGAGAUAAGUUAGAUAUAUCAGAAGUAUUUACUUACCAUCCAACUUCUCCAACAAAUACUGGUUGAUUGUGUUGACAUCUUCAUUUGUUGGUGCUAGAAUGGUUCUCUUUUGGAAGAACUUAGCAUCCUUUUCUUUUAGCUUUGCUGGAUCUCCAUAAAUCCCUAGAGUAAUGGAUUCAAUGGGAUUAUCUGCUUCAGUAAUUAGCAGUUCUUCAGGUAUAUCAAUUAGAGCCUCACCGUCAUUUGGCUCUGAAAUUCUACCAUCACCAACAGCUAAAAGCCAAUAUGAGAAUUCUUUAAUGUCUUUAGCUUCUUCUACACUCAAAUCGUUUUUUAGUAGCCGCAUGUUCUUAGUGAGCUUUAGUACCUUACAGUGAUCCCAAAGAUAAGAAGCAUUUAGGGCUGCCAUGACAAUUUCAGCUCUGCCAGCACCAGUGAUUACAGGAAGAACUUGUCUAAAAUCACCUCCAAAAACAACAACCUUUCCACCAAACACUUUGCUAUCUAUAUUACCAAUUAUAUCACAGAAACUUUUGUCUAGAGAUUCAAAACACCACUUGCUCAUCAUAGGUGCUUCAUCCCAUAUAAUAAGUUUAGCUUUCCUUAUUAGAUCUGCAAGGUCAGACUUCUUAGGUAUUUUGCACACUGAAUACUCAUCGGGGGUAAGUGGUAUGGCAAACCUUGAAUGCGCAGUCCUACCACCUUCCAACAGCAAUGAAGCGAUUCCACUGGAAGCCACGUUAAGAACUAUAUCUCCUCUAGAUCUAAUAGCAGCUGAAAGUGUUUUCCAAAUAAACGUUUUUCCUGUACCUCCAAAUCCAUAAACAAAAAAAAACUCCACCUAGUUCAUUGAAAACAGCACCAGUAAUUUCAUCAUAAACACCUCUCUGCUCUGGUGUUAACAUCUCUAUCCAUUCAGCAUGUUUUUCAGUCAAAUCCUGACGGUCAUAUCGCAUCUCAUCAACGAUCAAACGAUUAGAAUUAUCAAUACCUUCUCUAGUUGGGCGGGGAAAGUUUUGUAUAUCUGUAAGAGUACCUCCAUUAAACAACAAAAUUUUCUCCAGUUCUUGAAGAGUGUAGUUUUUGAUUUCUGCUUCUGUAAGAUUCAGCUCUGCAUAUAUUGCAAAAAGAUUGAUUUAACAUCAACGGAUUUCCAUAUAAAUAGAACUAAUCAAAAAAGUAAUUAAAUCUAGGCACAUGAAUUAAUAUCUGAAUUAACCUUGAUUGUUGAACUCGUCCCUCUUCUUCUGUUGCAUAUCUUCAGCUAACAAAGGCCAUACCUGUUCCCAAACAUAUUCUGGUCUAGAAAGAGAAGUAGACAGCAGCAACAUAGCGAAAAAAUUCCUCAACCAAUCACCAAAACAAAACUGACUGGCAUCCACCAAACUGUCUAUGUAUACCUGGUCAUCAUCUAGGAUUCCACGAGCAAAACAUGCUUCUUUGUAAGUUGCAUAGACAACACCCAUGUAUGUUUUUAUAUCAGCAAAACAUGUUGGACCCCUGACUAUGUUAAGGAGGACUCUUAGAAAGUAUUCAUCUUCUAGCUUCCUUGGAACAUAAUUAAUACGACCCAAGGAGAACCCUCUAGACCUCUUGUUCCACUGCUUAUUAUUCCCAUCCCAAGUAAAAUAUGCAGGGAUUUCUGCAUAUAAGAGCUCUUGAGCACGCUUUCCAUUCUUUCCAAUAGCAUUUAGCCUAUUCAAUGUCAGCCAGGCCAUGAACAUGGAAUCCUGAUUGGUAAUUCUUUCUAAUACUUCUGUUAUAUCCUCCUUCCCUUUAAAAUAAGCUGGUUGCUUCCCUUCAACAUGGAAAGACAGCUUCUGAACAGGUGUUGAUUUAUGCUGGAUUGGAAACUUAUAUAUCCUCCAAAUAGCCUCUGAUGCAGAAACAUAUCUGCAGUUUUCACACGGUAUCAUUAAUCUUAAGAUGUUAAGUAUAUGACUAUAGAAUAAAAAUAAGUAAAACAGAAGUCACAUUACUCAAUUUACCUGCAAUCGAAAUAAUCUUUUAUUUCAUUCUUUUUUUUCUCCUCUGGUAAUGAUUCAUGAGUAGCGGAGCUUCCAUCUAUAUUUGAACCUUGUUCUGUUGUUGGCGGUUUAUCAGGCUCAACAACAAAUGCCAUUUUAUCUGGACCUUUAUUAAUAUACUUGAAUAAGUAUUUAAUAGAGCCGGUUUGAUUACACCAUUCAACAUUGAUGUGAGCACCAUAUCUAACAGAUAGCUUCUUAUUGUAAGGGACAACAUACCUAUUGUCACAUUGAAUACCACAUUUCUCAACAUAGUUAUCAGAGCGUCUUCUCCUAUACACAGGAAAACCAUCAGCCCCAACCUUUGUGAUUUCCUCAUAUUUCUUAGGAUACUGUUUUGAACACUGUCCAUCGACCAUACACGGAGAAUUCAUAUUUGCUGCACCACAUGGACCAUGAAUCAUUGAAUUUUUAAUAACCUCAUACAGCUCUGGUUCUGUCUCCUUAUCUGGAAUCUCAGCAGAAAUCAUCUUGUCAAUAUCAGCAGCUGUUGGAAGUUUACUUUUAGCAUCCAUGAAUAAAAGAAUGUGAGCAUGGGGAAGGCCUCUUUUCUGAACUUCGACUGUAUACAUAGCUGCAAAAGAAAAAUACACACAUCAUUUUCAAUAUGUUAUCUUUCACCUAAUCCACUGAAUUAUCAAAAUGAAGAAAACUUACAGGCAACAGUCUUCCCAAGCAUUUUCUUUUCUGUUAGAUCAUUCAUUAGGGAAUCCAACUUGAUUUUGAAAAUCCUAGCAACAAUGUCUGGCCGAUCUUCAGCUGUUAACCCUCUCUCUGUAACGUAUCUGGUAAUCUCAGGCCACUUAGGGUUGCAUGUAAAUGUGAUGAAUAAAUCUGGGAAACCAUAAUGUUUACAUAUGGCCAUAGCAUCAUAGUAACUUUGCACCAUAUACCUAGGUCCACCAGUGAAUGAGGCUGGAAUCAAGAUUUGAUUACCUUCAUCUUCCAUAUUUUUUACACCAGAGUCAGCAGCUUCUUUGAUGGAGCUGUAGUUCUCACAUCUGAGCUUAGACUGAUUGAACCUUAUGUAGCAUAGCCGAUUAGAUUCAAUAGUUGUGUAAGCGUCACAAAGAAACUGCUGAAACAACCUCUUAGAUAGUAGCAGAGUAUGGCACUCACCAGGCCUCUCUUGAAUGCGAAAAGCAAACCACUGACGCAUACUAAUACACUUCUUCUUCUUAUUGUUAGUGACAUUCCCUUUAUAACACUUCUCGAUACCAGGCCUAUAUCCAUCUUCACCAUAGCAAAAAAUCAGAGGAUAUUGUAGAGCUAGAUAAGAAAUGUGAAUCUGGUUAAUCCUUUUGAGGUGACCUGUAGUUCUUUCUUCAAUAACUAUAUCACGAUUUGGCAUAUCCUCUGUAAAAUCUCCUGGUAUUAAAGCUGCAACCUCUGAUGUAGUAGGCAUGCUGUAAGUCCUUCCAUCUACACCCUUACGACCAGAGCAUAUCCUCAUAUGAAAUGGCUGGCAGUUAAUAUCUUUAAAUCUUUCCUUCGCAAUUCGGAAAUUCUUGACAUAAGGAUUGCAGAGAUUGAGCAUCUUCAUAAUGGCUUCGAUUGUUUCCUUGUUUAGAUUCUGUUUACCUCCACCUUGGUUGGAUUCCUUGCCCUUUCUACAAAACAGGAAGUAAUGAAAGACUUUUUUAUGAAAAGAUAACAGAACAACAGAAGCAGUAAAAACAAAAAAGUUAAAAGUCUUAGAAAUUAAUACCCGAUAACAGUUGCUCUGUUUUCUACUUCAUUUUUAGUGUCAACAAUAUAUAACUGUGAAUACUUAGCAUAGUCACCAACUGCAGGCUUUAAACUGCCAAUCAAAUGAUAGUUACCUCCUUGCAUUCGAAACAUGCUAGGUCCGUGACCUUUCGGUAUAGAUUUAUCAACUUUUCCACCAAGUGAGGUCAUUGCAAAGACCAUAUUAAAGAUCCUGGCAUGCUUUCUGUAAUUUCUACUCUGUGCAUCAUUACCAGUAAGAAGUUUCUUGAUUAAAUCUGGUGACUCUUUAAGAAAAGGUAAUUUAACAGAACCCUGACCACAACAGAGUGUAAAAGUAGGAUCCUUUUGAUUACGUCUUUUGUUUAUACGCUCAGCAUACCACAUAAAAGCACCACAAUACUUACACUGGUAAGUAGGAUCUCCAUGAUCAAGAUAAGCUGAAAACAAAAGAGAUCAUAUAUGGUUAGCAGAUAUCAGAUAACCAUAUUAUUUGUCAAAGUACAAUAAUUAACUCAGACAUACUUAAUUUCAUGUUCUUUCUAGCCUUGACACGUGUUUUUUUUUUUUUUGAGUAUCUGUUUGUUGUGUUUGAUGCUGAUUGGGAUCAAUUCUUGAUUCUACAGUGUGAAUAGGUUCUGAUGAAACAUCAAUGUUUGCACCUGCGUCCAUUGUCUGAAUAUGUAUAACUGAACUUUCAUCCUCACUGCUACUAUGGUCAUAAUUUUGCACCACUGCUUCAUCUUCACUCAAAUCCACAGAGUAAUUUGCAUCAUACAUCUCCUCAUCACUGCUAUUCUCCAUGAAGUCUGUAUCAUUAGUUUCUGUAGCAGAGUGUCCUAUAGGAGAUAUAAUUGUAAAAAAGUUCAUUAUUCAGUUAAUGAAUGUAGAAUAUCGGUCGAAAACUAAGGGUACCAAUAUUACCUUUAUGAUAAGAAGAUGAUCCUGCAUCUGUAAAGUCUGAAUGAAGAUUUUUUCUGGGCAAGUUUAUUGUCUGAGAAUUCAAUCUCGAUGGUUGCUUGGUAGUUAUACAUGAAGAACUACCAAAACAUUGGUUCCCUGAAAGAAAAUAGAUUGUAAAAAUGAUAGCAAGUAAAUAACAAAGUAUCCUUAUCUAAAAAAAUCAAAUAAUUAACCUUGUCUUGGUCUUGUUUCAGAGGGUGGUGGCAUAAGAGGAGUUUGAGCAGUACCUAGGGUCAUAUCCCUAAGUCCUAAUGGAGUGGAUACUAAAGUAGAUAAAAUGCUUAUGGGAGAGACAGAAGUUAAGUGGCUUCCAAGGGGUGUACCUGUAUCAAUUCCAGAAAAUUGGUACUACUUUACUCUAUCAAGUCAAUGAUUGCACUUUGUACAGUUAUGUAAAAAAACUUGUGAAUGACAUAAAAUGUUUAAUGCCUACCUCUUACUAUUGUCUUCUUUAGUGUAGACCUAACCGUUGGUGGAUCCUCAGACAUAACAGUUGGUAUAACAGGAGUUGAUGAAAGGUUAGUAAUAUCUUGCAAAACAGUA
rnacentral:lncRNA from 1 species